rnacentral:rRNA from 1 species
GGAAAAGGAUUGGCUCUAAGGGUUGGGUACGUCGGGCCUUGGCUGGAAGCCGCGGGACUCGGCUGGGACUGUUCGGGCAACCGGACGGACUCGGCUGGGACCUGCGUGUGGAUGGCUUUGGCUGCCUUCGGGCGUCCGGCGUACGCUUAACAACCGACUUAGAACUGGUACGGACAAGGGGAAUCUGACUGUCUAAUUAAAACAUAGCAUUGCGAUGCCCAGAAAGUGGUGUUGACGCAAUGUG